rnacentral:rRNA from 1 species
AUAAGCGGAGGAAAAGAAACUAACAAGGAUUCCCCUAGUAACGGCGAGUGAACCGGGAAGAGCUCAAAUUUGAAAUCUGGCGUGCUCAGUGCGUCCGAGUUGUAAUCUAUAGAGUCGUUUUCCGUGCCGGACUGUGUCCAAGUCCCUUGGAACAGGGUAUCAAAGAGGGUGAUAAUCCCGUACUUGACACAAUGACCGGUGCUCUGUGAUACGUCUUCUACGAGUCGAGUUGUUUGGGAAUGCAGCUCAAAAUGGGUGGUGAGUUCCAUCUAAAGCUAAAUAUUGGCGAGAGACCGAUAGCGAACAAGUACCGUGAGGGAAAGAUGAAAAGCACUUUGGAAAGAGAGUUAAACAGUACGUGAAAUUGUUAAAAGGGAAACGAUUGAAGUCAGUCGUGACUGAGAGGCUCAGCUGGUUCUGCCGGUGUAUUCCCCUCAGUCGGGUCAACAUCAGUUUUGUUCGGUGGAUAAGGGCGGUUGGAAGGUGGCACCCUCGGGUGUGUUAUAGCCAACUGUCGCAUACAUCGGAUGAGACUGAGGAAUGCAGCUCGCCUUUAUGGCCGGGGUUCGCCCACGUUCGAGCUUAGGAUGUUGACAUAAUGGC